UGGCGGCGAGCGGCGAACGGGUGAGUAAUGCAUCGGAACGUGUCCUCUUGUGGGGGAUAACCAGUCGAAAGACUGGCUAAUACCGCAUGAGAUCGAAAGAUGAAAGCAGGGGACCGCAAGGCCUUGCGCGAGAGGAGCGGCCGAUGCCGGAUUAGCUAGUUGGUGGGGUAAAAGCCUACCAAGGCGACGAUCCGUAGCUGGUCUGAGAGGACGACCAGCCACACUGGGACUGAGACACGGCCCAGACUCCUACGGGAGGCAGCAGUGGGGAAUUUUGGACAAUGGGGGCAACCCUGAUCCAGCCAUGCCGCGUGUGUGAAGAAGGCCUUCGGGUUGUAAAGCACUUUCAGCCGGAACGAAAUCGCGCGAUCUAAUAAGUCGCGUGGAUGACGGUACCGGAAGAAGAAGCACCGGCUAACUACGUGCCCGCAGCCGCGGUAAUACGUAGGGUGCGAG
rnacentral:rRNA from 1 species